rnacentral:sRNA from 2 species
AACGCGAGAUCCUUGCUUGCAAUUCCCUCCAUGACGAGGAGGUACCUUUAUUGUCCGUGUAAUCCUCAUACAUUGCAUAAACUUGAGGUACGCGAAUCGUAGUAGUUUGCUUGGGAAAAUAACAUAUUUUCUCCUUCCACAAAAUGCUACCCAAGGUCAUAUUUGACGGCAAAAUGCUGGCCAACUGCGACUAUUUUGCGAGGCAUCUGGUCACUGAAAACAUGAGGAGGAUUUACAACUCUCCCCGGUUGGCAGGAAUUGAGGGAGGUCAGCUAGUCUCGCACUGUGGGUAAUAGCGAUUGACGACAUGGUGAAAAGUAAAUGGUG